AGCCUGAUCCAGCCAUGCCGCGUGUGUGAAGAAGGCUUUCGGGUUGUAAAGCACUUUCAGCGAGGAAGAAGGCCUGAUGAUUAAUACUUGUCAGGAAGGACAUCACUCGCAGAAGAAGCACCGGCUAACUCCGUGCCAGCAGCCGCGGUAAUACGGAGGGUGCAAGCGUUAAUCGGAAUUACUGGGCGUAAAGCGCGCGUAGGUGGCUUGAUAAGCCGGUUGUGAAAGCCCCGGGCUCAACCUGGGAACUGCAUCCGGAACUGUUAGGCUAGAGUGCAGGAGAGGAAGGUAGAAUUCCCGGUGUAGCGGUGAAAUGCGUAGAGAUCGGGAGGAAUACCAGUGGCGAAGGCGGCCUUCUGGACUGACACUGACACUGAGGUGCGAAAGCGUGGGUAGCAAACAGGAUUAGAUACCCUGGUAGUCCACGCCGUAAACGAUGUCGACUAGCCGUUGGGAGCCUCGAGUUCUUAGUGGCGC
rnacentral:rRNA from 1 species